ACAGAGUGCAGCAAGCAGUCCCCUAGAACCUGCUGCCAAUUCUGAGUGGGAAGCCAGACUCACGCCAGGUCCUGGGCUGAGAGGUCAGACCCAAACUGCAGUCACCAAAUCUCAAGGAUCAGGCAGAAAAAUAAAUCACACAUCUCCCAGCACCGCCAGGGGAUGUUCACCCUCUUCUAAGGCACUGCAGAGGCCUGACCAUGAGAAACCACCACCAGCCUCAGAAUGCUGUUGAGCCUCCAGGUUAAUCACAGUCAGCCCCAAAGUGUCAGAUCAAUGACAGAUGAGCUGUGGGUAUCAGUCAGCACCGCUUCCCAAAUCUAUGGUGCAAAAUUUCACAAGGGCAGGAUCAAAGCUUGGGUUCUGGAGCAGGUACCUGUGGUGCAUCGAGCUUAGCUUCUCACUGUGUGACCCUGGACAAGUUCCGUCACUUCUCAUGCCUUGGUAUUCUCAUCCAUAAAGUGGAGACAAAAGCUCGACUCCCUCCGAGUGUGGUUAUGUGGGUUAAAUGAAUUAGUAUUCAUAAAGAGCUUGGCUGUAGCAUAUGCUAAAUAA